rnacentral:rRNA from 1 species
CAGUCGAACGGAAGUCGUUGUAAUGAUAUAGACAUGGACGGAGAACUUGUUCAAACAUAGUGAAAGUUGACUUACAACAAUGGCUUUAGUGGCGGACUGGUGAGUAACACGUAAGCAACCUGCCUAUCAGAGGGGAACAACAGUUAGAAAUGACUGCUAAUACCGCAUAUGCCUAAGUAUCACAUGAUACAAUAGGGAAAGGAGCAAUCUGCUGAUAGAUGGGCUUGCGUCUGAUUAGAUAGUUGGUGGGGUAACGGCCUACCAAGUCAACGAUCAGUAGCCGGACUGAGAGGUUGAACGGCCACAUUGGGACUGAGAUACGGCCCAGACUCCUACGGGAGGCAGCAGUCGGGAAUAUUGCGCAAUGGAGGAAACUCUGACGCAGUGACGCCGCGUGCAGGAAGAAGGUUUUCGGAUUGUAAACUGCUUUAGACAGGGAAGAAUAAAGACAGUACCUGUAGAAUAAGCUCCGGCUAACUACGUGCCAGCAGCCGCGGUAAUACGUAGGGAGCAAGCGUUAUCCGGAUUUAUUGGGUGUAAAGGGUGCGUAGACGGGAAAUUAAGUUAGUUGUGAAAUCCCUCGGCUUAACUGAGGAACUGCAACUAAAACUGGUUUUCUUGAGUGCUGGAGAGGAAAGUGGAAUUCCUAGUGUAGCGGUGAAAUGCGUAGAUAUUAGGAGGAACACCAGUGGCGAAGGCAACUUUCUGGACAGUAACUGACGUUGAGGCACGAAAGUGUGGGGAGCAAACAGGAUUAGAUACCCUGGUAGUCCACACCGUANACGAUGGAUACUAGGUGUAG